CGCUAAUCUACGAAAGGUAGCUAAGACAAAGCUAAGAAAACACAGCGUGAUGUAUUGCGUAAUGGCAAUAGACCAGCAGGAGUAAAGAUCGUUUGUCUGCAGUUGUAUAUCAAACACUAGUGAUAUUAGUGUCAAACAUGAGAGUAUUAAGGACUUGCUGGUUGCCUGAGUAUCACUAAAACAAGAUAAAGGAUGGUAGAGGUAUUGUUUAUUUUAUUAUUUUUAAAGGGUUUAUAAAGUUUUAAUUGUUUUAUGACUAUUGAUAUGAAGGUUGAAUGUAAAUCUGGGCUUUUCUGUUUUAUUUAUUUAGUAAUGGAUUGUGUUUUCCCUUGCAGGGAUGCACGGUUACCGUUUAUUUGAUAUUUAAUUUUCCUUUUGAAGUGUUGUUUCUUUAAGUUGACCGUAUAAGAACUAAGGUCACAAUCAAAGAACAAACUGAAUGAUUUCUAGUUCAUUUAAAGUGUUUAUGUACUUCAUUUGCAGUACCCACUGUUGCUAAUAUUGGUUUUUUGUUUCCUUUUGUAGAUUUCAUUUUGACCCAUCGGUGGCUGCGGGGUUGCCUUCACUGGUGGAUGAUGGUGUGGUGGUUUGGUCACUCUUAUGUCUUUUUCUUUAGGUCUGCAGUGUGAUUUGCUGUGAGUGGAUUGCAGUGCGAGCACA